rnacentral:rRNA from 1 species
AACGAACGCUGGCGGCGUGCUUAACACAUGCAAGUCGAACGAUGAACGAGGGAGCUUGCUCCCUCCGGAUUAGUGGCGAACGGGUGAGUAACACGUGAGCAAUCUGCCCCGAACUCUGGGAUAAGCGUUGGAAACGACGUCUAAUACCGGAUACGACGCGCGAAGGCAUCAUCUGCGCGUGGAAAGAAUUUCGGUUCGGGAUGAGCUCGCGGCCUAUCAGCUAGUUGGUGAGGUAACGGCUCACCAAGGCGACGACGGGUAGCCGGCCUGAGAGGGUGACCGGCCACACUGGGACUGAGACACGGCCCAGACUCCUACGGGAGGCAGCAGUGGGGAAUAUUGCACAAUGGGCGAAAGCCUGAUGCAGCAACGCCGCGUGAGGGACGACGGCCUUCGGGUUGUAAACCUCUUUUAGUAGGGAAGAAGCGAAAGUGACGGUACCUGCAGAAAAAGCACCGGCUAACUACGUGCCAGCCGCCGCCGUAAGAC